ensembl:lncRNA novel transcript, antisense to TTC7B
GGGGCUGCGGGACGACCUUGGGCGGCAGCUAGCAGCGAGUCCUAGCUGAUGUGGCCCUGAGUCAGCUUUUAGAGGUCCCAAGACUCGUUCACAGGCCGCUAAACGCAAACUAAGGCACCUCCCAGCACACCAGGAUCGACGUGUCCUCCUUCAGUCCGGACUCGGCGGAAUCUGCACCUGGGAGCCCCUCCCCAAAUGACCUGCUAGCCGCAGUCCAGGAAGCAGGCACCCCUCACUCCCCUUCUCAAAUGGGGGCUCUAUUCCUGUCUCUAGCUCUGGAGUUGUUGUGAGGAUAAAGGGAGAACCUGGCACACAGUAGGCACUCAACAAACCGUUCCUCUGUCUGUCUUGAGAGACUGCGGUGGGCCCUGCAGGGCAGCUGCCUGCCUCUGCCUGGUUCGAGGAAGGCCCAGCCAGGCCGGCCCCAGCUUCCUUCCUGCUCUUCUGUCCCACUCCGACCCACUCCGGAGAGCCACGCUCUGAGCCGCACAUGACUCUCUCCUUCUCCACAGAACAAUCUGUGUUCUGCUCCCGCCCCCGAGAGAGUUCUGAGCUUUCCAAAUAUGGAUGCUUUUUGCAUUCCCAAAGCAUCACGAACAUUUGGGAGAAGAAAAUGAACACCAGACAUGGUUUGGAAACGAUGGAAGCCAAGGGAUGGGUGGUGACGGAACAAGCACCGUACUAGGAGUUUUAAAAUAUAAAACACGAGUCUGGCCUAGGUGAUGUCUUACAACCUUACUAGCUUUGUAGCAGUCUAGGCCCCAAAGAGAUCCUAGAAGUAAGCACCCAAACCCUAAGAAUAAAAACUACAGCGGCCACCACCACACAUUGCAGAGGCGAAAACUGCAUUAAGGAGGCCCAGAGAGUCACCUGCUGUCAGAGGAAAUGAGCAGUGGGAGGCAGUCCCUUGAGAGCCAAACAGCUUGAAAGUUGACAAAUUGAGAUGAACCAGCUCGUCGGUGAGUGUAGGCAGAAGAGGCAUUAGACACAAGAGUAUUUGUUUUUAUAUCAGGCCCAAACCAAAACCUAUUCUGAAAUGGAGUGGAUCUCAGAAUAUACUGAGAAGUUUGCCCUUUUGCUUAGGCACCUUGUGUGUUAUUCAGCUAGAGUUUAUCUUCAAUAGUGUGCCCCUGGAUGCCAGGGCAAAAUGUUAAAGAAUGGCCCCGUCACAGGCACCCCUGUGCAGCAGGCACUGUUGUCCCUGGCGCACAUGCAGGGAGAUAAAGCAGGCAGCUUAGAUAUGACACAGCCUCAACACCCAACCCAGAAUAAGCACUCACAUAUUUGCUGAUUUAAUGAAUUAAUUAAUUAUACAGUCUAGUUUGAGAGAGGCAAAUGGCAGAUGUGAAAUAAUUAAAAUCUGAAUGCCAAA